rnacentral:rRNA from 1 species
GUGUCAGCCGCCGCGGUAAAACGUAGGAGCCUAGCGUUAUCCGAAUUCACUGGGCGUAAAGCGCGUGCAGGCGGCUUGGUAAGUUGGAUGUGAAAUCUCCCGGCUCAACUGGGAGAGGACGUUCAAUACUGCCAGGCUAGAGGGCGGAAGAGGGAGGUGGAAUUCCCGGUGUAGUGGUGAAAUGCGUAGAUAUCGGGAGGAACACCAGUGGCGAAGGCGGCCUCCUAGGCCGCUCCUGACGCUCAGACGCGAAAGCUAGGGGAGCGAACGGGAUUAGAAACCCCGGUAGUCCUAGCUGUAAACGAUGUCGACUUGGCGUCGGUGGUGUAAAAGCCAUCGGUGCCGAAGCCAACGCGAUAAGUCGACCGCCUGGGGACUACUGCCGCAAGGUUAAAACUUAAAUGAAUUGGCGGGG